AGAUAAAAGCUUAGCUACCAUUCUUAAUUAUAAUAAUUCAAUUCAUUUUAAUAUUACAAAGAGAUUUGAUUAAACUAGCUUGAACAUAUGGAAAAUAUAAAAGCUUGUGUUAUAUAACAUUGUGUAUGUAAGUGAGCAUUGGACCUUGCUCUCUCUUUCAGAGAUGGAAAAUAUCUAUAUGUAGCUCCAGAUAAGCAGAAGGACAAGAGGCAUAUGAAGUUAUAUAACUAUGUUAAUCAUUUACUGCCAAUAUACUGUAUAAAUAUCGAAACUGAGCCACAGUAAAGCAGAUUACUUAUGAGACAUGCGGCUGUGUGUGUCUUAUUUGAGUUUUCUCAGCAAUACAUUACGACCUGGUAUCCAGAAGUGACAUGAUAAUCAAAGGGACCAACCAGAGCUACCUAGACAGCUCUAUCAUUUAAUGGGGGCUCGUCCGGGAUGACUAACACAAGGAAAGGCAUCUAAUGAGAGUUUCUGUGUUGGAGGCGAAUUGUUCUCAGGGACUCUGAUUUCACAUUGGGUGAGUAAAACUAUGGGACUGCAGCCCUAUUUUGCUCAAAAUCAGACUUCUUGAGUUUAAUUCUAAAUCCAUUAUAGAGACAAUGUGCAUUUAUGUUUUUCCUUGAACUGUCAUUAUAAAGAACCCGAUUAUCGUGUCACACAGCCUAGAUUACUUGAAUUUAUUUUAUAUUGCGCAGCUAAAAAAGUAUUGCUUAUUGUAAUCUAAGGCAGAUACAGGUGUAUUGCUUGCGCAGCUAAAGUUUAUUGCUUGUUGCAGCUACAGUAUAAAGCUAAGGCAUAAGGCGUAAGGCAUAUUGCAGUGUUGUCAUAUGUUUGUAUGUUCUAUGUGUAUGAAAGUUGGGUCAGCCAUUUUUGUGGUAUGCUGACCAACAGUUGACGCCACAAAUGAACAGCUUACUGUCUUGUCUGUGUCAUGUAAACUGUUUGUUUUAAGAUAACAAGAAACGGUGUAAAGUGUAUAAAGGAGGUUGGUCCAUAAGGUCAUCAAAGACGUCCCUUGGCACGCGCAACCGUAGGCUUGUCCUGUCACCUGUCAAUGGAAGCCCCUGGGUGGUCAUAUGAGACACAACUUACCUCGCCUGCACCAUUGAUAAACAAUCAUUGUUACAUGUUGUAAAAGUCCAAUGUUGCUGAAUGACUGAAUCUGUGUCUAUGUCUUAUUAGCGCAUGCGCCCACAGACUAAUUGGAAUAGUAUACAAAGGCGUACCUAGUUUGCAAUUGUGUGCAGUACAGAGGUGUACUAAGGUUAAUUAUUAUGCAGGAUUUACCCAGUGUUUUUUGCAACAUAGAUAAGCAUCUCAGCAUGAGAAAGGUGUUUUUUACAGAAUUGUGAUUAUUGUGGGAUGUCAUUUAAAUGCUCAAAUGUUAUCAGUGCAUAGAAAUGAACCAUAUCCUUUAUGCUUAGCUGAUUAACCUACUGAUCAUUUUUUCUCUCUUUUUUUAUAUACCAGCAGUGUGUCUAACAAAUUUUCAGGAAAGUUAGAAAACUGAAUAUGGUGUUUUAAAUUGCAUGUAUUGUAAAUGUGAUAUAUUACAGUCAGACAAGUUAAAUUAAUCUUCAGAAGAAACAGGAAAAAAAAAGGAAAAGUGUGUGUCCAGACAAAACCUAAGCCAGUGAUACAUAGUUAACUUCUCACACAACUAGACAUAUCCCUCUUCGCCGCAAGUGGAUCCGGCCACACCCAUAGGACUUAAUUACCCCAAUGGGAGGGAAAGGGAGCAGGAUGGAAACGCGUUCACCUAUACAGAUUGUUGUGAUGAAAGAAGGGAAGAAAAGCAUCAAACACAUUGAUGCCAUUCUUAAAAGGGCCAAUUUUCCAAAAGACGGAAUAUUAGACCCACAAGCUUGGAAAAGAUUUCAAGUCACAGAUAGUCACUGGUUACAGAGAAAGGGUUAUCUGGACACUGUAAAUAUAUGGCAAACUGUUUCACAAGAAGUUGAAGAUGAAAAAGCAAUUAGAAGAGAAGAUUAUCUGUCUGUUGUAAUGCCACCACCCUAUGCUCCAAUAAUACAUAAUACCGUUAACAGUGGUAUACCCACUGAAGGUGUAGCAGGGGGGUCAGCUCCCUCAGUAGUACCAGUACAAGCAGAACAAAUGAUACCUGCUGUUACAGGAGCUUUAUAUCCCUCACUAAUACCAAUGCAAGCAGAACAAAAUACACCUGAAAAACAUUAUUUAAAUGCUUUAAGUUCUGUAGGGAACCCAGAAGGUACAGUGGGCCUUAGAGAUGUAAACCAGUACCCUGAAAGAAAGUGUCCUGUUUGCGAGAGAUGUGUCCCGGAGGGCAGUGAAAAAUGUCAGUUUUGUGGUAACUGGGUAGACCCAAACUCAGGGCCAUGUGAAUCACAACAUGUUAAAGAAAGGGGAAAUGUACAAUCACAAGUUCCGUGGAUGCUAAAAAGAUUGUGGGAUUUCAAUAAUAGUCCUGAUAAAAACCCAAAAGCAGUACCCGGUGAUAGAUACCACGUACUGCCUAUCAGAGUUAAUAGCCACCCUAAUCACAGACAUACAACUGACAGGUUACCUGGGGCUGAAGGUCAUAUUACAGCAUAUGUGGAGCAGGAACAAUACAUACCCUGGCUCGCUUCAGAGGUUAUGCGUACUGUAAAUGACUUACCAGAUAUCAGAAAAAGCCCAGCAGAAUUUGAGAAAAAGAUUAAACAAGUGUAUCUUGUGUAUAGACCGUGUUGGGUUGAUUUAGAACAGAUUCUUAGAGCUUCCAUAGGAAUAGGUGAAUAUAAUAUGCUUCUUGCCAUAGCUCCUCAGGAGGCAGAUGGUGAUAGAGGGAAAAUUGAGAAUGCUCCCCUUGAAGCCAACCGCUAUACUAUGGCUUCAGGCUUACAACUGUUGUAUAGAGUACAAGUCAGAUGUAAGCAAAUCAGAGACACUGCACCAGCUGAACCUGAUCUGGUACAAUAAAACCUCAGCAUAAGGGAAUACUCUAACAACGCCAGACUGUUUAAGACCAGGUUCCUUAAUGGACUUAGACCUGAAUACAGGCAGCAGUUGUAUGCAGUCCGACCAGAAGCAAAUUUGAUGAACAUUACCUCACUAGUAGAAGUCCUAGAAGGGAUUCAAGAUAACGAGAAAGAAAGGAGAGAUAAGAGAACUUCCAAAGCACCAGCUGUUACUAUACAUGUAGUGCAGGCUGCCCAGUCUAACACCAAGACAAAUAAGGUCCAAAAUCAAGGUAAAGGUGUUAAUAACUCCAGGCCCUAUACCACAAGAAAUGUGCAGGGUGAAGACAUGACUGGUAAAUGUUUUUGGUGCAAGGUUUCAGGUCAUCAGAAGAAGAAAAGCAGAAAAUACCAGACAUGGCUGAAAUAUAAGGACUCUGUCCCAACCUUCACGGUACAACAGGAAUGACUGAAUCCUGCUACGGGGUCCACCUACUCAAGUGACACCUACACUGACCCCAUAAAAGGUACGGUUAUGCUUACUCUACCUACAGGAAACACCCUAGAAUGCUUUUUGGACACUGGAGCAGCAGUCACUGUACUUAAGAAAACUGACGUCCCAGAAGAACUCUUAACCAGCCACUAUGUCGAUGGGACAGGACUGGGAGGACAGCCCCUCCCUCUUCAAAGAAUGAAUUUGUUGGGAGCUGAUAUCCUUAACAUCAUGCAAGCUACUAUUCAGUAUACCCCACAAGGAAUCAAGUAUACCAGCAAUAUUCCAGCUAUCAUGAAGCCUAGCAUUGAAGCAGCAAUUGAAGUUUAUCUACAUGCAAGUUUUGUAUGACAGCACAAAGAAAGAGGCUUCAAGCUACACCACAGAGCAAGUUGAAGAAAUUCCAUGAGGAGAAAGGCCAUGCACUUGGAGUCAUCACGCAACUGCAUGGAAGCAAGCAACGCCCAGUGGCUUAUCUUUCAAGCAAACUGGACAACAUUAUCCAAGGAGCACCCACCUGCAUCAGAGCAGUUGCAGCAACAGCAGUCCUCAAACAGAAAUGCAUAGACAUUGUGCUUAAUCAUGAACUGAUCAUUCAGGUACCACAUGCGGUGACUGAAAUACUACAGCAAGCCAGAACCAAGCACUUAUCAGCUGCAAGACUCACCAAGUAUGAAGUAGCUCUACUAAGUGCCACAAAUGUCACCAUCAAGAGAUGUACCACCCUCAACCCAGGAACUCUACUACCAGCCCUAUUGCAGGAAGAAGGAGCAGAGUAUGAAUCUCUAGAUUCAAAAGGAGGGAGAAGAGAGACAUAUAAUAUCUCUAGCAAUGGUACCCAGAAUAACCAGGAUGAUGAGGACCACAUGAACUAUGGGAAUGCAGAAAGUGAUGAAAAUAUUCACAAUAAAAUUUUUUUUUCCCCAUGACUGCAUGGCACUGAUGGAACAAGAAACUCAACCAAUACCUCAUGUCACAGACACAACCCUUCCUGAUGCACAGCACAAUCUCUAUGUGGAUGGUUCAAGAUACUAUGAGGAUGGGAUUCCUUAUACAGGAUACGCAGUAACCAGUAAACAUGAAGUUGUGGACUCAGGAUCCCUACCAUCCCAGCACAGGAUUGUGGGCCAGAUAUGGAAAAGCAGAGGCUUCAAGAAGGCAAGUGGCGAAGACAUACAAUGUGCUUUCCUGAUCAGACACCAGUUGAGAGCUCUGCAAGGGCCACAGAAAAGGUUGCAGUAAUGAAGAUCCAGGCACAUGAAGAAAUGACACUCCUGAAACAAGAGGCAACAAUCUGGCAAGAUGCUGAAGCAAAGAGGGCAGCAAAAUGCCCCCAGCAGAUAAGGCAAGCCUAUACAGUAACCAUUCCAGUGCCAGACCAAAUGCCUGAUUAUGCUACGCUGAUUGAACUUCAGAACCAAGCAGGAGAGAGUGAGACAGAAGCCUGUGGAAAGAGAAAGCAACGAAACAACCAGUAAAGGUAGCCAUCUACACCACACAUACAGAAGUAACAGAAAGAAACAAAGCCUCAAAUGCCUGAUCUACAGGAUUUGAAGAAAUUUCAGUAACAAGCAGAUCUUAAAGAAAAAGCAGCAUGGCAGAGAAGAGGAGCCAGACAAGAAGAAGAAACUGGCUUAUGGAAAUUAGAAGAAAAGUUAUACUUACCCAGAAGCUUAUACCCCCGUAUGUGUUAAGUCAGCCAUGGACUCACACACCUGGGAAAUUAUCAGAUGGGAAACUUAGUCACAGAAAAGAUGGAUAGCUCCAGAAUUUUAUCCAGAUGCAGCCAAGUUGGUACAAGCCUGCUGGAUAUGUGGAAAUGUCCAAUCCAGGACAGAAGGUCAAGACAACCCUUGGAGCAAUCCCCAAAAGUUAUUUUCCAGACUGCAAAUUGACUAUAACUAACUGCCAAAGAUGUAUUGAUAGUUACAGACAUUUUUCAGUUAUUGGCCAAUGGCAAAAGCUACAGCAAGAUCAAUAGAUAGAAAAUUAAGUUCAGAAGAUAUUUGCAGAUAAGGAGUACCAGAAGUUACAGUAUCAGAUUAGUGAGUGUGUCACAGAAACCAGAAAGAGAUGCUAAAGUGUUUAUUUCUAGGACUGGUUAAUAGUAGAACCAUAAUCAGUAAAACCCCAGGUUAUUCACCUUAUGAAAUAUUGUUUGAUAGCAUACCUAAGAUAGGAUGUUAUUAUCCACAAGAGUUACAGAAUGAAUAAGGUGAUUUCCCUGCAUAUGUUAAAGUGUUCUUACUGAAGAAACUGACACCUCUGUGUUCUCUAGUUUUUUUUAUCUCCCAGAUUCAGGAGCAGAUCUGAAUCCCCACAAGCUUUAACCAGGAGAUUGGGUGUAUCUGGAAAGACACGUGAAAAAGUCACUUGAGCCCAGAUUUGAUGGUCCAUAUCGAGUGUUUCUGACCACGCCCACUUCUGUGUCAAUUAAGGAAAGAGAAACUUGGGUUCCACUGCAAUUUUGCUCAAGUUAAGUUUGAACGAUGAAAUAUGCAAACAUGCAAAGGAGAUUGUUGAAAUAGUGAUGUUUUUUAGCAAAUUGCAUAUAUCUGAAUUUAAGAUGCUAUUUUGUUCCCUUCCUUUCAGCUUGAAAGAAAUUUGUAAAAUGUAAACUCAAAGAAGAAACUACAGAAGAGCUUGGCAAGAAGGAGCCGUGAGCAGUCUACCUUAAUGGAUAUGAUGUGAACGGUUCUUUACCUUCCGUGGGAUAGAGUGACAAGCACCGUCCUAUGGGAACAUAGCCUUUAGCACCAUUAUAGCUAGACUGUUUGCUUAGUCUCUUUUAGGUAGAGUUUAUGUGAUGCCUUGUAGCUCAACUGUAAUGUCAUAUUGUAAUACCAGAUGAACCUGUAAUGUUUGAUUAUUAUAAAAUAGGAGGGAAACUGAUAGAGAUAAAAGCUUAGCUACCAUUCUUAAUUAUAAUAAUUCAAUUCAUUUUAAUAUUACAAAGAGAUUUGAUUAAACUAGCUUGAACAUAUGGAAAAUAUAAAAGCUUGUGUUAUAUAACAUUGUGUAUGUAAGUGAGCAUUGGACCUUGCUCUCUCUUUCAGAGAUGGAAAAUAUCUAUAUGUAGCUCCAGAUAAGCAGAAGGACAAGAGGCAUAUGAAGUUAUAUAACUAUGUUAAUCAUUUACUGCCAAUAUACUGUAUAAAUAUCGAAACUGAGCCACAGUAAAGCAGAUUACUUAUGAGA